rnacentral:rRNA from 1 species
AGGACGAACGCUGGCGGCGUGCUUAACACAUGCAAGUCGAGCGGAAAGGCCCUUCGGGGUACUCGAGCGGCGAACGGGUGAGUAACACGUGAGCAACCUGCCCUUAGCUCCGGGAUAGCUCCGGGAAACCGGAAUUAAUACCGGAUACGACCACGGCCGACAUCUGCUGUGGUGGAAAGGAUUCCGGCUAAGGAUGGGCUCGCGGCCUAUCAGCUAGUUGGUGGAGUAACGGCCCACCAAGGCGACGACGGGUAGCCGGCCUGAGAGGGCGACCGGCCACACUGGGACUGAGACACGGCCCAGACUCCUACGGGAGGCAGCAGUGGGAAUAUUGCGCAAUGGGCGAAAGCCUGACGCAGCGACGCCGCGUGGGGGAUGAAGGCCUUCGGGUUGUAAACCCUUUCAGCAGGGACGAAGCGAAAGUGACGGUACCUGCAGAAGAAGCGCCGGCUAACUACGCGCCAGCAGCCGC